rnacentral:rRNA from 1 species
UGCUGCUUCGCUGACGAGUGGUGGACGGGUGAGUAAUGUCUGGGAAACUGCCUGAUGGAGGGGGAUAACUACUGGAAACGGUAGCUAAUACCGCAUAACGUCGCAAGACCAAAGAGGGGGACCUUCGGGCCUCUUGCCAUCGGAUGUGCCCAGAUGGGAUUAGCUAGUAGGUGGGGUAACGGCUCACCUAGGCGACGAUCCCUAGCUGGUCUGAGAGGAUGACCAGCCACACUGGAACUGAGACACGGUCCAGACUCCUACGGGAGGCAGCAGUAGGGAAUCUUCGGCAAUGGACGAAAGUCUGACCGAGCAACGCCGCGUGAGUGAAGAAGGUUUUCGGAUCGUAAAACUCUGUUGUUAGAGAAGAACAAGGACGUUAGUAACUGAACGUCCCCUGACGGUAUCUAACCAGAAAGCCACGGCUAACUACGUGCCAGCAGCCGCGGUAAUACGUAGGUGGCAAGCGUUGUCCGGAUUUAUUGGGCGUAAAGCGAGCGCAGGCGGUUUCUUAAGUCUGAUGUGAAAGCCCCCGGCUCAACCGGGGAGGGUCAUUGGAAACUGGGAGACUUGAGUGCAGAAGAGGAGAGUGGAAUUCCAUGUGUAGCGGUGAAAUGCGUAGAUAUAUGGAGGAACACCAGUGGCGAAGGCGGCUCUCUGGUCUGUAACUGACGCUGAGGCUCGAAAGCGUGGGGAGCAAACA